UUUUUGGUUAAGGUAGUUUUUGAUGAAAUUGAAGUCCAAUCAACUUGAAACUUAGUACAAAUGUUCCCUAUAGUAUAAUCUUUCUAAUUUUAAUGCCAAAUUAUAUAUUUACCCAAUUUCAAAGUCCAUAAAACAUGGAAAAUGAUAGUGCGAGUGGGGCAUCCGUGUACUUUGGACACAUUCUUGUUCUACAUGAAAUUGAAAAAUUCUGUGAAAGUGUGAUGAUUAUUAAUUUCUUAAUUUU
rnacentral:lncRNA from 1 species